GAGUUUGAUCUUGGCUCAGGACGAACGCUGGCGGCGUGCCUAACACAUGCAAGUCGAACGGACUUUGCGAGGGCUUGCUCUUGCAAAGUUAGUGGCGGACGGGUGAGUAACGCGUGAGCAACCUGCCUUACAGAGGGGGACAACAUUGGGAAACCGAUGCUAAUACCGCAUAAGAUUAUAGAACCGCAUGGUUUGGUAAUCAAAGGAGGAAUCCGCUGUAAGAUGGGCUCGCGUCCGAUUAGAUAGUAGGCGGGGUAACGGCCCACCUAGUCGACGAUCGGUAGCCGGACUGAGAGGUUGAACGGCCACAUUGGGACUGAGAUACGGCCCAGACUCCUACGGGAGGCAGCAGUGGGGGAUAUUGCACAAUGGGGGAAACCCUGAUGCAGCAACGCCGCGUGAGGGAAGAAGGUCUUCGGAUUGUAAACCUUUGUUCUUGGUGACGAAGAAGUG
rnacentral:rRNA from 1 species